UCACCAGUUUUGAUCCAGGGCCAGAACUCUGCUCAGCUAUGAGGAGAGGAGGAGCUUCCUGAUGCAACACCACAUCAGAUGAUGCAGGCCUCUGUAGUGCUGCCCACCUCUUUCACUCACACACAUACAGGAGACUUGUCAUGUGACCCCCCUCACACAGGGACCUGGUCAUGUGACCUCCAUGACAGCAUCCUCAUUGCAGUCUUGUACCUCUGCACUCAGACUGUAAGCUGGGAGCCAACAACUAUGUUAACGUGGCUGAUCCUGUCUCUGCCAACACUGGGCUUGUCCCUGAAGCAGCCCCCUGUGGUGGUGGUUGAGGAGAGGCAACCUGUGAGACUCCCCUGUGACCAGGAGAACACCCCCAAAUCUGUCAUGAUCUGGUACCAGCAGAGGGGAAGCACCUUGCAGCUGCUGCUGUGGUCCUCUGGACAGAACGUGGAGGUGGAGGCCCAAGGUCUGAUCCAGGGCUUCAGGGGGGACAGGAAGGGCUCCUCUCUGGCUCUGCACCUGGAGAAGUCUCAACUCUCUCACAGCGCUCUUUACUACUGUGCUGUCAAGUCUCUACACAGUGACAGAUCCACACCUGCAGCCAUGACAAAAACCUCCCACAGUCAGCCAACCAGAAAACUAACCAACUAACCACCCAACCAGCAAAGAGACAGACUACCAGGAAACCAACCAAUCAGCCUCUAAGCCAGACAGCCAAUCAGCUCACCAGCCAGUAAAACAACCAGCUAACCAGGAAACCAGCCUUUCAGGAAAUCAACCAACUGGCCAAUCAGACAGACAGCCUUUCAGGAAUCCAGCCAAGAAACCAACGAACCUGCCAGCCAGAAACCAAUAAGACAGCCAAGAAAACAGCCAGCCAACAAGCCAGCCAGGAAGCAUUAACCCCGAGGAGGGGUUAGGCUCUGGGGGUGUGGUGUCUGUGGGUUGAGGCAGGGUGAGUGUUGAGGCAUCCUCUAGGUGUUCCAGAGACCACAGCAGCAUCACACAACUCCAGCAGUCAGUCUAUCUGUGAGCUUGAACAACUAGUGUCUCUGAGAGGUAAUCUCUCUGAAUAUGGCUCUGAAAAUGGUUGCCAUGUGCCUUCUUCUCCAGCUUCUGCCACUAGGUUCUGGGGUGAAACAGCCCCCCGACGUGCUCGUGGCUGAGGGCCUGAAUACGACCCUGCGCUGCUCCCAGAUCAGCACCUCCUACAA